UAUACUUUACGGUUUGCUACAUGAAUCUCUUGCCACCUUUCAUCUCCCGCUGCUAUCAUUCAUCUCCUCGCUGCCGUUCAUCCCCUUGUCGCACCUCAUCUCUGUGUUGCUGCCUUUAUUGAGCUUCUACGAUCUGGUUCUCAAUCUGGCUUGGAUCUGAAGGUUUGUCGCUGGCGCUUAUUUCACCGCCGUCGUUCAUCUCCUCGCCGCCUCUCAUCCCUUCGCCACCGCAAGCACCACCGUGUCACUGCUUUCAAGGGGCUUCUAUGAUCUGGAUCUAACUUUGAUCCGAAGGACUAUUAUAGUUUCAACUAGAAGUUGAAAUUCAUUAUUCACAUACCCUUUUAAAUUACAACAGAUGGUUGAAACUGAAAGCGGAUCCAAAAUUUUAGACAUCUGUGAAACUGAAAGUGGAUCCAAAAUUUUGACAACAUCCACUAAAAUUUUCAUUUCUAGAGAAAAUAUGUUGCUGGAUGAUACUUGUCCCUGCAAUCUCGUCUCGCAGCUUUGUUCUAUGGCAAUCAGACUUCAAGACUCCAACAAUCUUGCUUUUGCUGAGUGUAAAGAGGAUCAAUCAAAUAUCUUGGAUGUCAUUAAAUCAAAUCAGCUUGAAAAGCAAUUGAUUGAGGUUAAACAGUUCUGCCAAUCCAGUGGUAACAAUAGCAUUAAAGGAAGCUAGAUCAUUGGAGGAAGAAGCACAGGCCCAACUAGACCUGCAGCUUGCUCAGGAAACUGCUUAUGCCAAUUUUGCUAGGGAUUUAAGUAACGAACUUGAAGAAGUUGACAUACAUUUGAAGAAUCUCAAAGAGAUGAUGAUUUAGAAGUGCAGGUUUGUGGAAAAUUAUUUGUCACUUGUUCCAUAUCAUUGGCAUGAAAUUGAACCGAAAAUUUGUUAUUGAAUUUGUAUUUUCAUGUCCCAUCUUUAUUUUAUUUUUACAUGUUACUUGCUAUGCAAAAUUUCACCUCAUUUAAGAAAAGGAACAAGCCAAAGUGACAGAAUCCGUUGGUAGCAAAAGGGAUUUACCAUUGGAAGAGAUGGCUUCUUCAAAAGCUAAGCAAGCACCAGAAGAAGUAAAAGCAAAGGUACUGGACAAGCAGGAGCAACUUUGUGAGCUCAGCCGUGCAUCUUUAGUUAGCAGGGAACGUGAAGAAUUCUUGAGGCUUGU